UCUCGACUUUCUCUUUCUUUGGACCGCUAAAUUUCUUUCAUUAAUCGUCUGCUUCCAUAACUUCCGUCUCAUUAUUAAAAAGGAAAGGAAUGAGACGACGGAAGAAGUUAUGGAAAGGACAGACGAUUAUGAAAGAGAUUAAAGCUGGUCCAAGAUUCCAUCGACCGUUAACAACUUUUCAUCAAUUGAUCAAAAAGAAAAGACAAUUGAUGAAAGAAAAGUUGU
rnacentral:ribozyme from 11 species